GUGGCGAACGGGUGAGUAACACGUGAGUAACCUGCCCCUGACUCUGGGAUAAGCGUUGGAAACGACGUCUAAUACUGGAUAUGACUACCGGCCGCAUGGUCUGGUGGUGGAAAGAUUUUUUGGUUGGGGAUGGACUCGCGGCCUAUCAGCUUGUUGGUGAGGUAAUGGCUCACCAAGGCGACGACGGGUAGCCGGCCUGAGAGGGUGACCGGCCACACUGGGACUGAGACACGGCCCAGACUCCUACGGGAGGCAGCAGUGGGGAAUAUUGCACAAUGGGCGAAAGCCUGAUGCAGCAACGCCGCGUGAGGGAUGACGGCCUUCGGGUUGUAAACCUCUUUUAGUAGGGAAGAAGCGAAAGUGACGGUACCUGCAGAAAAAGCACCGGCUAACUACGUGCCAGCAGCCGCGGUAAUACGUAGGGUGCAAGCGUUGUCCGGAAUUAUUGGGCGUAAAGAGCUCGUAGGCGGUUUGUCGCGUCUGCUGUGAAAUCCCGAGGCUCAACCUCGGGCUUGCAGUGGGUACGGGCAGACUAGAGUGCGGUAGGGGAGAUUGGAAUUCCUGGUGUAGCGGUGGAAUGCGCAGAUAUCAGGAGGAACACCGAUGGCGAAGGCAGAUCUCUGGGCCGUAACUGACGCUGANGAGCGAAAGCAUGGGGAGCGAACAGGAUUAGAUACCCUGGUAGUCCAUGCCGUAAACGUUGGGCGCUAGAUGUAGGGACCUUUCCACGGUUUCUGUGUCGUAGCUAACGCAUUAAGCGCCCCGCCUGGGGAGUACGGCCGCAAGGCUAAAACUCAAAGGAAUUGA
rnacentral:rRNA from 1 species